AACACCUCAGACCAAUCUUUAAAUAUUGGCUUUAAUGCCAGUCAGAAAUGUUGCUGGAACCUAACCGUCAUUUAUUCAUUCUCAUCCUUUGCUACCUCCCUUUUUUACUUCCAUUUUACCUCCUGCUGUCCCUUGCCCCUCCUCUCUCCUCUCUUCCUCCAGUCCCUCCUCCCUGCAGAUGAAGCUUUUCCUGUAGUCAAGGCCAAGUUCUGAGCAGCUUGCUCUGACCAGAGUGGACCAGGACACUCUGAGUUCCAAUCUGUUGCUUAGCACCAGGGUUGCUUGGAUACAUCUCUUGGUGACAACCGGCCUUUGCCUUUGACAGCUUAUGCACAUAAUCUAUGCAGUGAGCAUCUCUGUUCAGAGGGGCAUCGGGCCAGAACCAACUUUCACAGUCUCCUUUGAACUGCCUGGGUGGUAAUGGAAGUGAGAAGUUGUUUUAAAGGAAAACAGACCUAAAUUUUUAUGCUGCUCUACAGGAAUUGACAUCUGUGCCUGUGAUUUGUAUCGUUAAGAGAAAAAGUGUCGAGGAGUCCAUGGGACUCAUUGGUGCCUAGCAUCCUUGUUUCAACAUAAAUGCUCCUUCUUGUCAGAAAGAUUGCAGUCAGGGAUGAAAAGGAAGAGAUAAGUAUGACUGCAAUAGCAUUCACAGGUGUGGGGAAGGCCAGCCCAAGCAGGAGACCCAGCUGAGGACGCAGGUUGGUGGCCCAGCACAAACUCCAGGAAUGACAUUCUGGAGGAGGGAUACCCUCCAAGUGUUGGGGGGAGCAAGACACGAGGCCAAGAUAGAGUGAGAGACAGAAGGGUGGCUGAUGAGCUUCGAGGGAGAAUAUGGGGAGAAGAGUGGAACCCCAGGGGGCUGGCAGGGAUGGGAGGGGAGGUGCAUGCUGAGUUCACUAAGUGAUACAGAGGCACACUUCGCCCAAUGUGCCACAUGCUUGCUGCGACAUUUUUCCUUCUUUGCCAAAAGAAAAUGAUCAUCACUGCCUUCUUUAAGCUAAAACGUCUUUACUAAACACCUACUCCAUGAAGUCUUUCACACGGUGGGCACACAAAAGGAUAGUUCUCAUCUAUGCCUUGCUGACAGCACAGUCAGAUGGACAAGAGGUACAGAAACAAAAAUGAAGCAGGUAACGACCAUGGUGGCUGCAUGCGCAUUAUAGAAAUGUUGCAUGGGUUCACAGUGGGGAGAGAUGGGGUGGGCUCGGAAGACAGUAAGAGAAUUGGAACCAAUGUUGGGAGAAGAGAGAAUGAGUUCUGGUGAUCUGGUAUUGAGUAAGGACUCACAUUUCUGGGCUUCAGACAUGGGAAGCAGGGAGGUAGGGUCACUACAUGGCCCCCACAUGCUCCCACCAGACUUCACAUUCUACAGCUCUAAGACAGGACCAUGCUUGGUGCAUUACUGAAUCAGAAAGCAGCCCAUGGACUUUCACAGAGCAGGCCACAAUGCCCACCUUCCUGUUCCCCUCUUUGUUCCUGCACUACUGAAGUUUGGAGAUGGUUUCCCCAUGAGGGAAUUUCUGGAAGAGAAGAGGUAUAUGUACAAAAAAAGGAGAAAGCCGAGAUGGCUUUUACCAAUACAGGAAGGAGUCCCAGACAUCCCUACCUUGCUCCAUCCUUACGACUAGACAGUGUCUAAAAAACUCUUGGUGCACAUUCGUAUCAAGUCACAGCCCUAUUAAUGGCUAACAAAAGGCCGGGCAUGGAAAGGGGAAAUGAUUCGUUAUAGAAAUUGGAGAGAGUUAGGCUCAGAACUGAGGUUCUUUAACACCAAUCCUGUGUUUUGCCCCAAUUCUCCCAACUCCCACAGUCUGGGUUCCAAGACCCUUGGAAGUAGGCAAAGACUUACUGAAAUACUUAGAAGCAGCUGGGAUUCCAGUGGGUCUGAAUAACGAGGGUUAAGGAGACAUGAGCACAUCCCUUCUAGGUGGGUGCACUGGCUGCUUCACCCUCGUGCCUGAGGGUGAAGGCAUCCUCUUCUCUUAUCUUGGAGAUGGGGUCUUUAGCAUAAAGCCAAAUGGGAAAUUUCCACUGGAAUCUGAGGCUUCCUGUUCUUUUUUGGGUUCUGCAAGGUCUGUUAAGGAGGUUCAAGAUUAGUGGAGGGGAAGAAAUACUAAUAACAACAAAAAAGACUUUCUUGCUAAACAUUUAUGCUACCUUGAACAAGUCCUAUCUAGGGCCUUAGUUUCCUGAUCUUUGAAGUGGAAAAAGGCACAUGACCUAAGGGGCUUGUUAAAAAUACCAUUCUCAGUGCCCUCACAAGACAGAAUCAAAAUACCCAGGUGUCUCUAGUUAUAAGAAGCUUCUCAGGUGACUCUGAUGAGCACUUGUGUGUGCAAACCACCCUCCUAGCUGCCCCCUGCAUUUCCUGCCAGUCUUGCAUUCUACAUGCUGGUGGGAUAUGAGCACACAUUCCUCAAAACUGAGACGUUUGGAUCCUUUGGUGUCUUCAUCUGGAGUAGAAGUCGGAGGAAGAAAAACAGUAGAUUUAAAGAAAAUCUAAGGAGGUAGGGAGGCAAGGAGAAGCUGAGCUCUUUUGCAUGGUCACUGAGGAGACACCGGCACGUCAGCACAAGUCACCAGCAGUUACAUUUGCCUGAAGGUGGUUUAUGACCUUGAAAGAGAAGAUAUUCUUGUAGUUAUAGAUGGAACCCAGGUCACUGGGAAUGAGCCUUUCACAGAGCAUCGUCCAGAUGAGCAGGUAACUUGCUUGUGGCCAGUGCACCUGUUCUGUUCCUAGGCCACAGACUAGGGAUGUCGUGUCGACCACACUGUGACAUCCUCUGACCCUGCCCAGGAUGGCACAUUCCAGAUUUCUCAAGAAAAGUGUCACCUGUUGGAGAACAGAGGCCAAUCUCUCUGACAAGAAGACAAAUAGCAUUCAGGGGUACUCUGGCUCCCCUCCCCUGGUGAGGACAGUAACGAUGGCUGAGCAGGUGUGCUCCAGCCCACACCAGGGCCAAAGCCACCAGCCAGAAGCUGCAGGUGUAGCAGGUCCGUUGAAACAAUCACUGUCAGAGGAAGAACAGGAUUUGGUGGUUGAGGAUUGCUGAUUGGUAAUACUGUAACUUUCACACUUCCAUAGUCUUCUAUGCACUCUGGAACAAUGAAGAAGCAAAUAGGCACUUGACUUUAUGACUUCUUCAUUCUGCAUAUUAAGCAGUUGACACAGGCAGCCUCCCGACAGCCGGUCUGUACAAGCCGGCAGCGUUAUUGGAAGUCCCGUCUUGAGGAAUGAGAGACAGAAAAGGGUCUUUCAUGUCGUGCCAGGGAGCCCUGUGGACCUCAAUAUAGGAGUCUUCCCAUCUCAAAGCUGUUCUUUCAUCAUGGGGAAAAUAAAAAAGGAAGAGAGGAUCAGGGCUGAGACUUCUUGCUGCCCCCAAGCAAUGGUGCCACCAGCUGCUCAGCUGCUAUCUUUGCUGAUUCUCUUAAUAACACCAUGGACUGCAUAUUACCAGAAAAGGUCAGGGGACGUUUUGAGAGCAGUUCUCAUCCUGCUGUUAGGUGUGACAGUGCCAGCAAAUCUGGAAGGUAACAAAACCUCCUCCAUCAGGAAAGUGCCCUUUGCUGACCCCAGGUUGGAAUCAGAUUCUGGAAAAACAGAAUUUCUUUCCUCGUCUUUCUCUCUCUGUCUCUUUCUUCCCUCCUUCUCUCCUGUUCUCAUCUCCUCUCUUAUCCUCACCCCAUUUUGACUCUUUCUUCCUCUCCAGAUGGCUGACCGGGGCUCCCUCUAUACUUGCUCAUGGAGAGUUCUGGAAAUUCUAAAACCUGAGCUCUGGAAUGAUGGGAGGAUCCAAUUGUUCAUCUCAAAGGCGGAGACACAGAGCACCAGAGAAGCAGAGGAAACUCGGCUGGACAUUUCCCCUUGGUGUGGAUGUUCUCCCACCUGUCCUGCCAACCCCUUCACUGUGCACAUCCUCUCUCCUUCGCACACCUGGUCCUCCCGCCCCGCCUGUUCCCAGACUGCUCAGUCUGUGAGCGUCUUUGCAAUGUCAGGCAUGAUUGAGAGGUUUGGGGACCAGCUGCCAAGGAGGCAUUCUGGCUUCACUUUCCCAUUUCCCUUCUCUCCUGGCCCAGCAACAAGGUAUGAAAACAACGGUGCCCUAGGUUUACACAGAAGCUCUCAGCCAGGAAAUCUCAAAACGCAUUCGCCAGCCAACCUGAUUACACUCAUUUUUCCUGGUGGAGGAGAGUGUCUUUUCUGGAAGGGAAGUCAAUUGCCAAAAGACUGUUCUAACUACCUCGGAACGGCUACAAGAUGGGCCCAGGCACCUCUCCUGCUGGCAUCCUGGGUCACCUCCUGCCAGUCCCGUGCUACCUUGGGAUGCAUUGGUUUAAUUAACAAGGACCAAAGGCUCUCCCAAAGCCAGAAUUUCAGCCUCGACACCAUAGGCUGCAGUAGGACAAGGCAUCUCCCUAUUUAGCAGGUCCUUGUUUUCCUAGUUAAGUAGAAAAUAUAAAAGAGAAAUUAGAAAUUCUGAGGCCCCUAUUCUUACAAUAUCCAAUUCAGAUAAACUUCAUAAUCCUAAAAGAGGUGUCCCCUCUCAGGAGCAGCUCAGGGUCUCACUUGAUUGCUAUUUUUGUGUGGCUCCGGCCAGCCCAGGGAAAAUGCCAGAGUCUUUCUGUUACCCUUUAUACGAGCAUAAAUACUCAUUAGAUGGCCUCUAAACCAUGCUGAGAGGCUAGAGGUCCAUGUAUUUUGGGUAAAUCAAAGGAAUAAGAAGGAAAAGAAAUAGAAGAGGUGAGAGAGACGGGAGGCAAGAAGCAGAAAGGGAGGAGAAAAGACCUCAGGGAGCAGGAUGGGGGUGCUCCCUUCCAUUUGCAGAGAUCACACUUAAUUCCUUUUUUAUUCAGAAUAUUAUGGGGGUACAAAUGUUUAGGUUACAUAUAUUGCCUUUGCCCCACCCAA